rnacentral:lncRNA from 1 species
UCAGGAGGCCUCUGUCGUAACAUAUCGUCAAUCUCUGGAGGACCUUGUAAAUUUCUUUCACCAGAUUCCACAUUUUCUGCAUCCUCUAAUGGAAUAUUCAAGUUUCGUAGCCGUCUAGGUAGCCCCGCCAUAAUAUCUUCACUAAAGCAAUGCAAAGAACAGAUCUCAGUACGGCAACAAUCUAAUGAUAGAUAAUUAUGUGCAUAAGCAAAGAUCCUAUGAUCUGUAUUUGUUUAGAACUAUUUACAGUACUGCAAUCUCAAGUUCAGGAAUAAUAGUCAGCCCAUUACUUGUAACACAAGAUCCUACAGUAUAGUGCAUUAUCUAAUAUACAAUUAAACCAUGUGAGAUCAACAGGUUAGCACAGAUGUGACUACGGCAAUCAAAACAACAGAUUAAACAUGUGCAGCGAUCACUCAAAUUUUAUCUAAAAAAUGCAUUGCGGUGCCAGAUCUCCAGAUGCAAUUGAUGGAUUAGUUAUUAUCUGUCCAGAUUGAAUCGGAAAGGGAAGGGAGGGAGAGAUGCUGCGCAUAAAAAGCAGAGAAUCACAGGGGAAUCGAAGGGAAGCGGAAAGGGAAGGGAUAGAGAUAUGUGCGCCUGGCGGCAAUCAGAAUCGCCUCCACGUCGCGUGACCUCUCCGCAGCGGCGCCGCUCCAGCUCGCCUCCAGCGUCCCGGCCGGCAGCGACGGGCAAGUCAAUAACUACAGGGGACAAGAGCCACAUAUAGAGGAGAUACCUGCGUCUGCGCCUGAAGGGAGGGAGGACCUGGGCCUGCGUCUGCGCCUGAAGGGAGGGAGGACCUGGGUCUGAGGCGGCGCCGGCGCUGGAGCAGAUCGGGGAGGACGAAGAAGUUCCUUAUUUUUAGAUGGGACGAAGAAGUUG